GACGAACGCUGGCGGCGUGCUUAACACAUGCAAGUCGAACGGAAAGGCCCUGCUUUUGUGGGGCGCUCGAGUGGCGAACGGGUGUGUAACACGCGAGUAUACUCCCCUUGACUUUGGGAUAACUUUACGAAACUGGGGCUAAUACCGGAUAGGAGCUCCUGCUCCAUGGUGGGGGUUGGUAAGUUUCGGCGUUUGGGGCAUGACUCGCGGCUUAUCAGCUUGUUGGUUGGGUAGUGGCUUACCAAGGCUUUGACGGGUACCCGGCCUGGGCGGGUGACCGGGCUCAUUGGGACUGUGAUACGGCGCAGACGCCUACGGGAGGCAAUAGUGGAGAAAAUUGCACAAUGGGCGGAAGCCAGUUGCAGCAGCGCUGCGUGCGGGAAUAUCGCCUAUGGGUUGUAAACCGCUUUCGCCUGUGAUAGAGCGUGAGUGACGGUACUGAAUAAAGAAGCCACGGCUAACUACGUG
rnacentral:rRNA from 1 species